CAGCGCCUGGACCGGCACCAUGGCAUCAGAUGUAAAACAUCCCCCUCCCUUCACUAUUCCCGUUGACCCACCUGCGAACUAUAAUCUACAUACUCCAUUCCGCCUUGUGACCACAGAGACCAUCACACCCGUCGUACCAGGUAA